GACGAACGCUGGCGGCGUGCUUAACACAUGCAAGUCGAACGAAGUGGCGAACGGGUGAGUAACGCGUAAUCAACCUGCCCUUCAGAGGGGGACAACAGUUGGAAACGACUGCUAAUACCGCAUAAUGAAGGGGGGGAUUGCGUCUGAUUCGCUAGUUGGAGGGGUAACGGCCCACCAAGGCGAUGAUCAGGAGCCGGUCUGGGAGGGUGAACGGCCACAUUGGUACGUAGACACGGCCCAGACUCCUACGGGAGGCAGCAGUGGGGAAUCUUCCGCAAUGGACGAAAGUCUGACGGAGCAACGCCGCGUGAGUGAUGACGGCCUUCGGGUUGUAAAGCUCUGUUAAGCGGGACGCGGUACCGGAAUAGAAAGCCACGGCUAACUCCGUGCCAGCAGCCGCGGUAAUUC
rnacentral:rRNA from 1 species